UCCCUAGUGGCUCAGAUGGUAAAGAAUCUGCUUGCAAUGCAGGAGACCCAGGUUCAAUUCCUGGUUCAGGAA
rnacentral:tRNA from 1 species